AGUGAACGCUGGCGGCAGGCCUAAUACAUGCAAGUCGAACGGCAGCACAGCAGAGCUUGCUCUGUGGGUGGCGAGUGGCGGACGGGUGAGGAAUACAUGGGAAUCUGCCCAGUCGUGAGGGAUAACGUAGGGAAACUUACGCUAAUACCGCAUGCGCCCUUCGGGGGAAAGCCGGGGACCUUCGGGCCUGGCGCGAUUGGAUGAGCCCAUGUCGGAUUAGCUAGUUGGCGGGGUAAAGGCCCACCAAGGCGACGAUCCGUAGCUGGUCUGAGAGGAUGAUCAGCCACACUGGAACUGAGACACGGUCCAGACUCCUACGGGAGGCAGCAGUAGGGAAUAUUGGACAAUGAGCGCAAGCCUGAUCCAGCCAUGCCGCGUGAGUGAAGAAGGCCUUCGGGUUGUAAAGCUCUUUUGUCCGGAAAGAAAAGCAUCCAGUUAAUACCUGGGUGCCCUGACGGUACCGGAAGAAUAAGCACCGGCUAACUUCGUGCCAGCCGCCGCAGUAAGAC
rnacentral:rRNA from 1 species